CGCCUUGCCACGCCCGCUCAAGAACUACAAAGGAAUUGACGGGGGCCCCGCACAAGCGGUGGAGCAUGUGGUUUAAUUCGACGCUACGCGAAGAACCUUACCUGGGCUCGAACGACUGGUAGUAGUCCGAUUGAAAGAUUGGGCGACCCGCAAGGGAGCCAGCCGAGGUGCUGCAUGGCUGUCGUCAGCUCGUGUCGUGAGAUGUUGGGUUAAGUCCCGCAACGAGCGCAACCCCUAUCCUGUGUUGCUACCCGCAAGGGAGGACUCUCAGGAGACUGCCGCGGAUAACGUGGAGGAAGGUGGGGAUGACGUCAAGUCCUCAUGGCCUUUAUGUCCAGGGCUACACACGUGCUACAAUGGCGUACCCAGUGGGAAGCGAAACCGCAAGGUGGAGCAAAUCCUCAAAGUACGCCUCAGUUCGGAUCGGGGGCUGCAACUCGCCCCCGUGAAGGUGGAAUCGCUAGUAAUCGCUGAUCAGCAGGCAGCGGUGAAUACGUUCCCGGGCCUU
rnacentral:rRNA from 1 species